CAUUUGCUUCAAAGCUCUAAUGAAAGCUGGCCAAGUGAACUUUAAAAAAGCUAAAAAACUUCCUAGACUUUGCAAAUUCACCAAAUUUAUGCCAAUUACACCUAAUCCUAAUUGCUCCAAGGUGAAGAGUUAGGGCAAUGGUUGAGGGGUAGCAAAAUUUCUCAAUCGUUGUUUGUAGGUUUAUUCGAAGAAGUUGAAACAAAACCAUCCAAAGGUAGAAGAAAUGUAGUUUCUAGAAGAACGGCCUAUAAAAAUAUUGUCAAUUUUAUUUACUGACAAAAUUGACAUCUCUGUUUUAAUUAAAUAAUAGAAAAUUCACUAAAAAGUUAUUUAACCUUUA